GAUAAACGCUGGCGGCGUGCCUAAAACAUGCAAGUCGAACGGUCUAUGGUCUUCGGACCGUAGGUAGUGGCGGACGGCUGAGUAACACGUGGGUGACCUGCCCCGGAGCGGGGGAUAACUGCCCGAAAGGGUGGCUAAUACCGCAGACAUCAUGGAUUCGGUUUCAUGAUUGAACCGAGUGAGGGUUCUGGGAGGGGCCCGCGGCCGAUUAGCUAGCUGGUGGGGUAACGGCCUACCAGGGCAUCGAUCGGUAGCUGGUCUGAGAGGAUGAUCAGCCAGACUGGGACUGCGAACGGCCCAGACUCCUACGGGAGGCAGCAGUUAGGAAUUUUGGGCAAUGGGCGAAAGCCUGACCCAGCAACGCCGCGUGGGUGAUGAAGGCCCUCGGGUCGUAAAGCCCUUUUCCCAGGGAAGAUGAUGACGGUACCUGGGGAAUCAGCCCCGGCUAACUACGUGCCAGCAGCCGCAGUAAGAC
rnacentral:rRNA from 1 species